CAGCCGCCGCGGUAAAACGAAGGGGGCUAGCGUUGUUCGGAAUUACUGGGCGUAAAGCGCACGUAGGCGGAUAUUUAAGUCAGGGGUGAAAUCCCGCAGCUCAACUGCGGAACUGCCUUUGAUACUGGGUAUCUUGAGUAUGGAAGAGGUUAGUGGAAUUGCGAGUGUAGAGGUGAAAUUCGUAGAUAUUCGCAGGAACACCAGUGGCGAAGGCGGCUAACUGGUCCAUAACUGACGCUGAGGUGCGAAAGCGUGGGGAGCAAACAGGAUUAGAUACCCCAGUAGUCCCUGUCUCUUAUAC
rnacentral:rRNA from 1 species